CUCAACCCUUGUACACCUAAUUCUCUCUCACUAGAACUUUCCCUCACAAAAACUCUCUCUCUUGGAAGACCUCCUGAACCCCUGAAGUACCUGGCGACCGCUGUCCAGGAGCCUCCUACUCCUUCUCUCUCAACGCUUCCGCCUCUCUCUUCUUCCUCUUCUCGAGUUCCGUGCAGUCUCAGGCAAAAAGCUGAACCAUGCCUCUGUUCUCUAUGUACAGGGCUUUUUAUAGGCCUUAAUCAUGACUUAGACCAUGAUUAGGACUCCUUAAUCAACCCAAAUAACUCCUGGACUGUCGGAUC
rnacentral:lncRNA from 1 species